rnacentral:sRNA from 1 species
AGUUACAUUGUGAUGGGAACCCAGUAGAAGCCGUCCCGCUGGCCAAGGGAGCUAAUGGUGGUUGGAAAUUAGCGCACGGGCGGUCUUCGAAUUACACUCCCAUCAAUUUUUAAUCUAAUCCGCGUUAAAUGAGGUGCGUUUUUACGCAUAAAAAUGGGUGGUACCACGGCUGAGUCGUCCCUGUG